AUUGAACGCUGGCGGCAGGCCUAACACAUGCAAGUCGGGCGAGAGGCGGACGGGUGAGUAAUGUAUGGGGAUCUGCCUGAUGGAGGGGGAUAACUACUGGACACGGUAGCUAAUACCGCAUACCAUCAGAUGAACCCAUGUGGGAUUAGGUAGUAGGUGAGGUAAAGGGUGACCUAGCCGACGAUCCCUAGCUGGUCUGAGAGGAUGAUCAGCCACACUGGGACUGAGACACGGCCCAGACUCCUACGGGAGGCAGCAGUGGGGAAUAUUGCGCAAUGGGCGCAAGCCUGAUGCAGCCAUGCCGCGUGAAUGAAGAAGGCCUUCGGGUUGUAAAGUACUUUCAGUCGGGAGGCGUUACCGACAGAAGAAGCACCGGCUAACUCCGUGCCAGCAGCCGCGGUAAUAC
rnacentral:rRNA from 1 species